GCGGAGAUCGCAUAACCUGGUAGUGCGCAAGCCUGGAAAGCUUGUGGUCCGAAAGGGCCUUGUGGGUUCAAAUCCCACUCUCCGCG
rnacentral:tRNA from 1 species